rnacentral:rRNA from 1 species
AGUGAACGCUGGCGGUAGGCCUAACACAUGCAAGUCGAACGGCAGCACAGUAAGAGCUUGCUCUUACGGGUGGCGAGUGGCGGACGGGUGAGGAAUACCUCGGAAUCUACUUUUUCGUGGGGGAUAACGUAGGGAAACUUACGCUAAUACCGCAUUCGACCUACGGGUGAAAUCAGGGGAUCUUCGGACCUUGCGCGAUUGAAUGAGCCGAUGUCGGAUUAGCUAGUUGGCGGGGUAAAGGCCCACCAAGGCGACGAUCCGUAGCUGGUCUGAGAGGAUGAUCAGCCACACUGGAACUGAGGUAAGGUCCACACUCCUAUGGGAGGCAGCAGUGGGGAAACUUGGACGAUGGGCUGAAGCCCGAACCAGCCAUACCGAGUGCGUGAAGAAAGCCUUCGGGUUGGAAAGCCCGUUUGUUGGGAAAGAAAAGCAGCAGGUUAAUACCCCGCUGUUCUUACGGUACCCAAAUAAUAAGCUACUGCUAACUUCGUU